GAUGAACGCUGGCGGCGUGCCUAAUACAUGCAAGUCGAGCGAACAGACGAGGAGCUUGCUCCUCUGACGUUAGCGGCGGACGGGUGAGUAACACGUGGAUAACCUACCUAUAAGACUGGGAUAACUUCGGGAAACCGGAGCUAAUACCGGAUAAUAUAUUGCACCGCAUGGUUCAAUAGUGAAAGACGGUUUUGCGGUCACUUAUAGAUGGAUCCGCGCCGCAUUAGCUAGUUGGUACGGUAACGGCUUACCAAGGCAACGAUGCGUAGCCGAGCUGAGAGGGUGAUCGGCCACCCUGGAACUUAGACACGGUCCAGACUCCUCCGGGACGCCGCAGUAGCGAAUCUUCCGCAAUGGGCGAAAGCCUUACGGAGCAACGCCGCGUGAGUGAUGAAGGUCUUCGGAUCGUAAAACUCUGUUAUUAGGGAAGAACAAAUGUGUAAGUAACUAUGCCCGUCUUGACGGUACCUAAUCAGAAAGCCACGGCUAACUACGUG
rnacentral:rRNA from 1 species